rnacentral:lncRNA from 1 species
UUCCUCCUGACACUCACCACCUCUACAAGAUUAUUGUAGUUGGUUUUCAUCAGAUGGCACCAGACCCCAGUUCAUAGAUUUGAUCAGAAUGUUCUUGGUGCACUACAAACUCACAGACUGGAUCCAACCUACCAUGCUGCCCAGCAUCACCUACAUCAUUGUGAUGAUGCAGGAACCCACCAGUGGGACCUUCAGCCACGCAACCACCGAGACUCUCUCUGCAGAGGAGAAAUGAGGCCUGCAAAAGGAAUCCUCGAUUUGUUAGCCCUUGGCAUAAAGAAGUUAAGCUCCAGUGUUUUGCUCGGCACAGAACACCUCCCUUGAAAAAUCCUCAUAUUCUGUGACAUGUGGUGCAUAAGCGUGCUUGUGUCUGUGUGUGCGGGAGAUAUAGAAGCAAAUGAAACUCCAAGCUUGAAAUUAUACCCUCGGAGUCACCUGUUUGGGAAAAGCUAUCACUGCUGAAGAUAUGAAAGGAUUUGUAAAGGUCUCUCACUGACCCUGGAACUUCCCAUGUGGUUAGAGUGUCUGGACAGCAAACUCCAGGGAUCCACCAUCUCCCCAGAGAUGGGGUUACAGACCAGUCUGUCUUCUACUUAAAUUCAGGGAUUUGAACUCAGCUUCUUAAGCUUGCAGGUGUGACUCUGGCUUUGGUCAUGGUGACUCCAUGCUCAUGUAUGACAUGCCAUUUGCCUUACCAAUGGCCCAUCCAGACUGUGAUGUCAAACAGGCCAGAAGAAUCAGAAACCGAGACCUGAACAUCACAGGCCAGCCUUCCCUGGAGUGUGAGAAGCCAGGUUAUUGCUGUUCACAGGAAAUUUGAGUGAAUCAUGACUAUUUCUGUCAGCCUGAGGUUGAAAGUGAAACCGUAUCCAGCCAUCAAGGUUUGCUCAACUUCUCUCUGUCUCACACACACACACAUACACACACACACACACACACACACAUACACACACACACACUCACACUCACGCAUGCGUGCACAUGUUCUCACGAGUGCGUGUUGUCUAUGAAGCCAAGUCAAGUACACAGUUUCAAAAAGAAUUGGCCUUGUGGCCACAUUUGUACAAGCUACAUGUCCUUGUACAUAUUAUUAGUGUCUCCGAUCUUCACUUUCCCCGACUUUGAAAUAUGGAUAUUAGCCAUCACAGUGACCCACAAGUUGAAAGACAGAAACCACAUGAUCAUCUCAUUAGAUGCAGAGCAGACAUUCAACCAAAUCCAAAACCCCUUCAUGAUUAAAGUCUUGGAGAGAUCAGGAAUGCAAGAGACACCAAAACAAAAUAAACUGUUGGCAGUGAGCUCACAGCCAACAUCUGCUUAAAUGGAGAGGAACUCAAAGCAAUUCCAUUAACAUCAGGAACAAAAGAAGGUUGUCCAUUCUCCCCACACCUAUUCAAUAUAGUGCUCUAAGUCUCAGCUAGACACUAAGACAACUGAAGGAGAUUAAGAUGAUACAAGUUGGAAAGGAAGACAUCCGAAGAAUCUUUAUUUGCCCAUGAAUCAUUAAUAUACAUAAGUGUCCCUAACAAUUCCACCUGGAAACUCCCACAUCUGAUAAACAGCAAAGGAGCUGGAUUCAGAAUUGAGUCCCCCAAAUCAGUGGCCCCCCUAAAUACAAAUGACAAACGGACUGAGAAAAAACCUCAGGGAAACAACACCUCUCACAAUAGCAUCAAAUAAUACAAAAUAUCUUGAGGUGACUCUAGCCAAGCAAGCGAUGGACCUGUACGAUAAAAACCUCAAGACAUUGAAGAAGAUGGAAGAAUCUCCCAUGCUCGGGGCUCAGUAGGUUUAAUAUAGUAAAAAUGGCCAUCCCGACAAAAGCAGAUUCAGUUCAAUCCCCAUCAAAAUUCCAACACAAUUUUUCAUGGAUCAUGAAAGAACAACUUUCAGCUUCAUCUGAAAACAAAACAAAUACAACAGCUCAAAGAAUCCUGAAUAAUGAAAGAACUGUAGGAGGCAUCAUCAUCUCCGAUUUCAAGUUGUACUACAGAUCUGAAGUAAUAAGUCGAGCAUAGUAAUGGCAAAAAAACAGACAUUGAUUAGGGGAGUUGAAGACUAAGACAUUAAUCCACACCUACUGACAUCUGGUUUUUGUUGUUGCUGUGUUUGUUUGCUUGUUUGUUUGUUCUAAAGAAGCCAGAAAUACACCCUGGGAAAAGGGCAGCUUCUUCAACAAAUGGUGCUGGUCAAAUUGGUGGCUGCCUGUAGAACAAAUAAACCCACACUUAUCAUCCUGAACAAAACUCAGUUCCAAAUGGAUCAAAGACUUCCACAUAAAAGCAGAUACACUGAGCCUGGUAGAAAAAGAAGUGGGGAAUAGCUUUGAACACAGAAAAAGACUUUCUGAACAGAACAUCAAUAACCUAGCCACUAAGAUCAACAGUAAGUGGGACCUCUAGAAACUGAGAAACUUCUGCAUGGCAAAGGACAGCACCACUCAGGCAAAGCUGCAGCCUGCAGAAUGGGAAAACAUUUUGACCAACUCGACACUCAGUAGAGGCCUACUAUCCAUGCACAGGUCCUGCUUGGGUCUGCACCAAGUUCUCUGCAUAUAUAUUAUAGCUUCCAGCUUAGUGUUUUUAUGGGAUGUUUGAGUAUGCAAACAAGUAGGUCUCUCAUUCUUCUGUCUUCUCAUGGAGUAUUUCCUUCUGUUGUCAGUUGUUUUGUUUUGUCCAAUUCCCAUGUACUAGUUUUUGUUUACUCAUAUCAUAUUAUAUUAUUAUAUUAUAAUCCCUUAGAAACCUGCUAACUUCUAAUGAGAUACAGAAAAGGAAUGGAUCCAGAUGGGAGUGGAAGAGGGGAGGAACUGGGAGGAGUAGAGAGAAAAGAAACUGUAAUCAUGAUAUGUUAUAUGAGAAAAAAAAUCUAUCUUCAAUAAAAAAGAUGGGGGAGCC